UACAGAGGGGGCAAGCGUUGUUCGGAAUUACUGGGCGUAAAGGGCGCGUAGGUGGCCUGUUAAGUCGAACGUGAAAUCCCCGGGCUCAACCCGGGAACUGCGUCCGAUACUGGCAGGCUUGAAUCCGGGAGAGGGAUGCGGAAUUCCAGGUGUAGCGGUGAAAUGCGUAGAUAUCUGGAGGAACACCGGUGGCGAAGGCGGCAUCCUGGACCGGCAUUGACGCUGAGGCGCGAAAGCCAGGGGAGCAAACGGG
rnacentral:rRNA from 1 species